AUGAAACGUUCUGCCGAGCGGACCCGUCUUCGCUUGUGCUACCCCUGUCCUCUGGCGGGACAUCGAGUUUCCUUAAGGAGUCUCUACACCCAACGCGGGGCUCGAACACAUGACCCCGAGAUCAACAGCUGCGUGCUCUAAUGGCUGAGUCAGCCGGGUGCCUUGGUGGUUUCUGGUCUGUGGCCACGGAAGCUGCUCCGAUCCAGUGAUGUUUACGCAGACACCUGAAGGCUCGGAGGGGAGUCAGCCAAGCAGAGCUGAUGGAAGGGCCAGGGUGAGCGGGGACCGCGGGACGGUGUCGCGUGCGGGCCGGGAGGGCGGGGCUGCCUGGUGGCUUU
rnacentral:lncRNA from 1 species